GAAAGUAGGUUCCUCUGCUAUUUAGCCUCCCCAUUUUGAGCUGUAAAACUGAGGCUAAGGUUUUAUGAAUUCUACAUCUUGAUCGAAAAUACCAGUCUCUGGCUAAAUGGCGACAGUCACAGACUCAUCUUCAUCUGAGGGGAAGCCAAGCCUAACGCAACCCAGCGAGUUCCCUUCUACGAUCGGAUCCAAAACCCUAGAAGAAGUUUCUCCAUGGAUCGACUACGCAGUUCGACAAGCUCUUAUGUACCAGAAGACCAUCAAAGAAGCAGUCGAUGAUACCACUAAUGCUCUCAGAUCUCGCUUAGCGGGAAUUCGUUCCACUUCUUCCGCUCACUUCCAUCAAACAAUGGUAAAGUUCCUAGAAUCUAGCUCAGUUGGAUAUGUUAAUGGCCACUAGGAAAUUUUGAUCGAUUGGUACAUGUAGGAUUCUCUGCAAGAUGUCAAGUCUGAGCUUCUUGUUUACGAGGAUAUGCUUUUUGGAAGGAUUAAAGGUAUUCCUCCUAUGCUUGCAGUUGACAAAUGUUUUAAAGGAUUAAAGGAUUAAAUAAUUCAGAAGUUCAUAUUUUGGCAUGAUUACUGCAGAAGGCGUCAAAAUUGCAGCUUCAUAUCCACUUGUUACAGGAGGGGUUGCUGUUGGAUUGGGAUUCGUACUACUGAAAAGUAUGGUCGUUGUAUCUGUUAUAUUGAAUUAAGCAAUGUAUCUACCUUUUGCGUUUCGGCAAUUGCAAGCUAGAUUGCUGUUUCUGUUUUGCAAAGAAGUGUCAAUACUUGAUCAAGUUAACAUGUAAUAGGCAUAUUCCCUCUCCACUUUCUGUCUCUUAGGCGUUUGAUUUAUAAUUUUCAGGGCCGAGACGCUAUUUGUACUACAAUACCUUGCGCCUUUUUGUGAGUGAAGAGGUCAGCUAAAUUACUCUAUCUGCUCUUACCUUGUAAAGUUGUAAUUGGUUGAUUACAAACAGCAUAAUCCCUGAGCUAAGCUGCCAUUGCUGCUAACAUUAUUCAUUUUUUAUGCCAGUCAAUAGUUCCGAGUUAUACUACAAUGAGAAAAAACCCUGUGUUUUAUUAUAUUUAUAAUAUAUGGAGUAAGAGUCGUUUGGUUAUUGAAUUUUUAGAUUUUUAAAAUGAUAUCUAAUAAAGAUUGUGCCUAAUAUGUUGUCAUUUAUGUCAUGGAGUGUCAAAUAAUUUGUUGUACUCUGAUUUUACUACAAUGAACUAGAGAAAGGAAAAUUAGUAAGAAGAUUUUGUUAAAAUAAAUGAAAAUGAUCAAUCAUUUCCUAGGUUUUAUAAUAAUAUUUGCAGCAAGCAAUUAAAGUAAACCCGAAAGUUGGUAGCAUUGAAAUGAAAAUGAUCAAUCAUUUCCUAGGUUUUAUAAUAAUAUUUGCAGCAAGCAAUUAAAGUAAACCCGAAAGUUGGUAGCAUUGAAAUAGUUUCUGGCGAAUAAGUAGCUGGUUUGAAAUGUUCUGUGGGCAUAUGGCAAAAAUGUAUGCGUUAUGAUAUGCUUUCUGCUAAUCAAUCCUAGAUCCGACUGUGUAAUCUAAAUUGGAAAUUCAAAUUCUAAGUGGAUGAUCAAAUUUGACUGAUAUUGUGUCUUUGGUUGCUUUAUGUUUUUGAGAAGCACAGUUAUGGGACACAAUGGGCUAUGGAUGCAUGUAUAGAUUGCCUGGAGCAUCAUGUAUGCAUUAUUGCAUAAUUCUCACGCUAAGAAUUAAGUUAUGUUUGUAAAACUUUGAAGUGAAUGUAAAUGCUCUUUCCGGCUGCAGUCCCUACUUUCCCGAGCAGAUGCUAAGGUAAAGGAAUUGAGGCAGUCGAUUAGCCUUUUGAAGGCCGAAAGCGAGAAGUUAGAGGUAUCUUUCAUUCUUCUCUUAUUUUAGGUGAUGAUUUAGAGUCAGUAAGACAAUGUCCCGAGUGCUUUCUUUUUGCUUUUAUAAUUAUUUUAGAAAAAUAAUUUCCUCUUCAGUUUUGCUGUGAUUAAUGAAUAGCAAUCUACCAAAAAUGUUGAUUGUUUUAGAGCAAAGAAUAAGUUGUGAUGUCAGUUGCGCACUUUUGCACUUGUUAUAUAUUUAUAUUUAGGAAUAGUAUAUAAAAGGGAGUUAUUUUGGUGAACUAUGGCUUACACGUCUGGAAGGUCGAACACCAGAGAUAAGGAGGACAAAUGGGAAGGUGAAAUCUGGAUUUUUUAGCAUCAUGGAAACCUUCCCUUUUUAUUUUUCCUCAAUAAUGUCAGGUUGAUAAUGAGCAAUUAUACUGAAGUCUAUCUGUUCUAACCUUUUGCAAACUCCUCUGCUUCCCAAAAGAAAAGAGAAAGAAAAUGUGAUGCAUCAAGGAAGAUUCAAUUUAGGAAUUAUUUUUAUUUAAUUUUGAUUGUAAAAGUAAGAUCUUUAAUUUAGAAUUUUUCAGUGUUAGGAAGUUUAAGAAUUCUAUUAUUAUUUAGGAAGCUUGAGGUGGUUUGUGAUUUCUAACUAGUAUUUGAUUAUUUUUUUCUUGUUUGGGAUUCUAAAUCCUAGUACUAGUAGGAUUCAUAAUUCUACUAUGAAUACGUAUAUCCUCUAUGUAAUCAGAUUGAUCUUUUCAUGAUUGACAGUGUUCUAUUGUGUUCUACAUAACUUAUUUGUUUGCUUAGUAAAAAGGUAUUUUGAUUUCUUCCUUGCCUAUGAGACAAAUUCCCGGUUGUUGUAUAUGCCAAGUGCAUUUGAGUUUGAUCUGAUAAGAAUUGCCUCUACAAAAGCGAGUUCAGCUGAGUUUUUUUAAAGGCUUUAAUUGUUGCUUACUGUAGUAGUCCCAAGGCAUCUCUUCAUAUUUUUCACUACUUCAGUCAGCUUCAAUUGGGUUGUUGGGAACUUAGACACUUGUUGUGUAGCCCAUUACUUCCCUCUCUACUUUCUACCAUCUCCUCUAUUACAGCAGAAGGGGGAAAAACUCAAGAUAGAAAGCAAGAAAACAUGAAAAUGGUUGGAUCAGGUCCAAUGAGGCUAGCAAGAGUAUCUGACUCGCAUAUAAUAUGAUAUAAUCCUUUUCAUUCGGGUCCUCGCAAUACAAGUGCAUUCAUAAAUUGUCUUACUCAGGGUCAAGGUUUGCCAACAAUGUGGUUUCUUUAGUCUCUCAGCAUGGUUGUGUUGUAUGUGGGUUAUGCUAAGAUGAAGCACUAGGCCCUUGGUGUCAUUUUUGAAAAAUUUGAGGAGAAUGUGUUGUAUUACCUUCCGAUUGUUCAGUUAUCUGUAUUCUUCUGAUAACUGUAUGCAUUGGCAUCUUCACUGGGCUCUAAUAGUUAGAUGAUUUUUCGAUAUAUUAAAUCUGGCAUGCAAAUAUCUCAGCUUCAUCUUUUGGUAGGCUCUUCUUGAUGUUGCAGCGGUUCCCUGUAGAAUCUAAAGGGAGGCGUAAGAAGUUGCAAGAGGUAUUUAUUUCGAAGUAUAAGACCUUUUAUACUAAUCUGUUUACUCUUUUGUCAGUUACCAAGUGUUGUUUCUGCUAUUCUUUUGUUCAGGUUGGCUAUGUGACCACCAUAUGUUUCUCAUGCUUCCUAGUCAGAUGCAUUAUGGUGAGUUUAUUGGUGUUUCUUUUUCUCUUCUUCGCUUGCAAAAUUUUGAUGAAGCCUUAUUAAAGUUAGGGGGGUUAGCUAAAUGAUUACUUAAAAGCCAUAAGUUUUUGCAGAACUAUCACCUAAUUCAUUAACAAUAAUUUGGCUGUUGGUUAAUUCAAUUUACUCAUUUGGCAGUUGCUAUGUUUCUGAGGUCUUUAUCAUUCUGAUGUUCAUUUGACAUUGGCUUGUAUUGUCAUUUUCCUAUUCUCCAGAUGUGCUUCAAUGCAUUUGAUAAAGCUGCAGAUCUUGAUGUUUUGGAUCAUCCAAUUCUAAACUUCAUAUAUUACCUGGUAAGUUUUGGUGCAUGGUCAUGCUUACAGAAAAUGCAAAUUUUUAUUGUGUAGGGUGUUCUCUUAUAAAAUUGGGAAGGUGCUAGACUAAUCUUCUUGUCAUGUGGCAGCUUAUGUACAUUGUUUUCUGCUCCAUUUUUUUUUUUAAAUUUGAGUUAUGCGCGAACAAGUUAUAAGAAUUUUUUUACGAAUAGUUAGAUGGUUAGCAAAAGUGGCAUUUUGACCAAUAUGCAGGAAGGAUAGUAAUUUAUAAUAAAUAGAACUCGUAUAAUUUACCAAAUUGCAAGUGUGUGUGUUUGUCAGCCAUGAGAUUCAAGUGUCCUUUUUUUUUUCUUUAAUUUGUUUUUAUUAUUUUUUUAAUUAUCUGCUUCUUAUGCUGCAUUUCAGUUGGAGAUGAUUGGGUUUAGAGGAAAUGUAUAUCUCUGUUUUCAUCAUUGUUUGAUGAAAUCAUGAAACUUAUAAUUCUUGCUCUUUUUGAAUGCAAUCAUAAUUCAUAAAUUUGUGGAUUUCAGAGACAUAUUGUUGUAAUUUUAUCAAGGAAUGUUGUUUUUGCUCCCUUUCCAAUCUUACGAUUUAAGCUCUCAUUGGCAAGUGUUAAUUGAUAAUCAAUGGUCCCUUUAUGAGGUGGAGUGUUUUUUUUUUUUUUUGUGGAUGAUGGG
rnacentral:misc_RNA from 1 species